UUAAGCGACUAAGCGUACACGGUGGAUGCCCUGGCAGUCAGAGGCGAUGAAGGGCGUGCUAAUCUGCGAUAAGCGCCGGUAAGGUGAUAUGAACCGUUAUAACCGGCGAUACCCGAAUGGGGAAACCCAGUGUGAUUCGUCACACUAUCAUUAACUGAAUCCAUAGGUUAAUGAGGCGAACCGGGGGAACUGAAACAUCUAAGUACCCCGAGGAAAAGAAAUCAACCGAGAUUCCCCCAGUAGCGGCGAGCGAACGGGGAGGAGCCCAGAGCCUGAAUCAGCAUGUGUGUUAGUGGAAGCGUCUGGAAAGUCGCGCGAUACAGGGUGACAGCCCCGUACACAAAAGCGCAUGUGUUGUGAGCUCGAUGAGUAGGGCGGGACACGUGGUAUCCUGUCUGAAUAUGGGGGGACCAUCCUCCAAGGCUAAAUACUCCUGACUGACCGAUAGUGAACCAGUACCGUGAGGGAAAGGCGAAAAGAACCCCGGCGAGGGGAGUGAAAAAGAACCUGAAACCGUGUACGUACAAGCAGUGGGAGCACAGGUUUACCUGUGUGACUGCGUACCUUUUGUAUAAUGGGUCAGCGACUUAUAUUCUGUAGCAAGGUUAACCGUAUAGGGGAGCCGGAGGGAAACCGAGUCUUAAUUGGGCGUUAAGUUGCAGGGUAUAGACCCGAAACCCGGUGAUCUAGCCAUGGGCAGGUUGAAGGUUGGGUAACACUAACUGGAGGACCGAACCGACUAAUGUUGAAAAAUUAGCGGAUGACCUGUGGCUGGGGGUGAAAGGCCAAUCAAACCGGGAGAUAGCUGGUUCUCCCCGAAAGCUAUUUAGGUAGCGCCUCGUGAAUUCAUCUCCGGGGGUAGAGCACUGUUUCGGCUAGGGGGCCAUCCCGGCUUACCAACCCGAUGCAAACUGCGAAUACCGGAGAAUGUUAUCACGGGAGACACACGGCGGGUGCUAACGUCCGUCGUGAAGAGGGAAACAACCCAGACCGCCAGCUAAGGUCCCAAAGUCAUGGUUAAGUGGGAAACGAUGUGGGAAGGCCCAGACAGCCAGGAUGUUGGCUUAGAAGCAGCCAUCAUUUAAAGAAAGCGUAAUAGCUCACUGGUCGAGUCGGCCUGCGCGGAAGAUGUAACGGGGCUAAACCAUGCACCGAAGCUGCGGCAGCGACACUGUGUGUUGUUGGGUAGGGGAGCGUUCUGUAAGCCUGUGAAGGUGUGUCGUGAGGCAUGCUGGAGGUAUCAGAAGUGCGAAUGCUGACAUAAGUAACGAUAAAGCGGGUGAAAAGCCCGCUCGCCGGAAGACCAAGGGUUCCUGUCCAACGUUAAUCGGGGCAGGGUGAGUCGACCCCUAAGGCGAGGCCGAAAGGCGUAGUCGAUGGGAAACGGGUUAAUAUUCCCGUACUUGGUGUUACUGCGAAGGGGGGACGGAGAAGGCUAUGUUGGCCGGGCGACGGUUGUCCCGGUUUAAGCGUGUAGGUGUGUGUUCCAGGUAAAUCCGGUUCACUUUAACACUGAGGCGUGACGACGAGGCACUACGGUGCUGAAGCAACAAAUGCCCUGCUUCCAGGAAAAGCCUCUAAGCAUCAGGUAACAUCAAAUCGUACCCCAAACCGACACAGGUGGUCAGGUAGAGAAUACCAAGGCGCUUGAGAGAACUCGGGUGAAGGAACUAGGCAAAAUGGUGCCGUAACUUCGGGAGAAGGCACGCUGACACGUAGGUGAAGUGAUUUACUCAUGGAGCUGAAGUCAGUCGAAGAUACCAGCUGGCUGCAACUGUUUAUUAAAAACACAGCACUGUGCAAACACGAAAGUGGACGUAUACGGUGUGACGCCUGCCCGGUGCCGGAAGGUUAAUUGAUGGGGUCAGCGCAAGCGAAGCUCCUGAUCGAAGCCCCGGUAAACGGCGGCCGUAACUAUAACGGUCCUAAGGUAGCGAAAUUCCUUGUCGGGUAAGUUCCGACCUGCACGAAUGGCGUAAUGAUGGCCAGGCUGUCUCCACCCGAGACUCAGUGAAAUUGAACUCGCUGUGAAGAUGCAGUGUACCCGCGGCAAGACGGAAAGACCCCGUGAACCUUUACUAUAGCUUGACACUGAACAUUGAGCCUUGAUGUGUAGGAUAGGUGGGAGGCUUUGAAGCGUGGACGCCAGUCUGCGUGGAGCCGACCUUGAAAUACCACCCUUUAAUGUUUGAUGUUCUAACGUGGACCCGUGAUCCGGGUUGCGGACAGUGUCUGGUGGGUAGUUUGACUGGGGCGGUCUCCUCCUAAAGAGUAACGGAGGAGCACGAAGGUUGGCUAAUCCUGGUCGGACAUCAGGAGGUUAGUGCAAUGGCAUAAGCCAGCUUGACUGCGAGCGUGACGGCGCGAGCAGGUGCGAAAGCAGGUCAUAGUGAUCCGGUGGUUCUGAAUGGAAGGGCCAUCGCUCAACGGAUAAAAGGUACUCCGGGGAUAACAGGCUGAUACCGCCCAAGAGUUCAUAUCGACGGCGGUGUUUGGCACCUCGAUGUCGGCUCAUCACAUCCUGGGGCUGAAGUAGGUCCCAAGGGUAUGGCUGUUCGCCAUUUAAAGUGGUACGCGAGCUGGGUUUAGAACGUCGUGAGACAGUUCGGUCCCUAUCUGCCGUGGGCGCUGGAGAACUGAGGGGGGCUGCUCCUAGUACGAGAGGACCGGAGUGGACGCAUCACUGGUGUUCGGGUUGUCAUGCCAAUGGCACUGCCCGGUAGCUAAAUGCGGAAGAGAUAAGUGCUGAAAGCAUCUAAGCACGAAACUUGCCCCGAGAUGAGUUCUCCCUGAGACUUAGAGUCUCCUGAAGGAACGUUGAAGACGACGACGUUGAUAGGCCGGGUGUGUAAGCGCAGCGAUGCGUUGAGCUAACCGGUACUAAUGAACCGUGAGGCUUAACCUU
rnacentral:rRNA from 1 species